rnacentral:rRNA from 1 species
UACGAAGGGGGCAAGCGUUACUCGGAAUUACUGGGCGUAAAGCGUGCGUAGGUGGUUUGUUAAGUCUGAUGUGAAAGCCCUGGGCUCAACCUGGGAAUGGCAUUGGAAACCGGCGAGCUAGAGUGCGGUAGAGGGUAGUGGAAUUCCCGGUGUAGCAGUGAAAUGCGUAGAGAUCGGGAGGAACAUUCGUGGCGAAGGCGGCUACCUGGACCAGCACUGACACUGAGGCACCAAAGCGGGGGGAGCAAACAGG